rnacentral:lncRNA from 10 species
GCCAGUUGUUUUGUACAAUAUCCUUGAAUUUGGGUUUGCCAAAAAUAAAAUCAGAUUAAAUUUAAAUUCUCAAAAAGAUUAUUGAGCAUACAAAAUAACAGUUCCCAAACUAGAGACCUCUGUGCAGCUUCCUAAAUGAGGAAGUACGUUGAUCUCUGUUGUGCAAAUAAAGCUGCAUAAGCUUGUUUGUAUUGGCUUAAUGUUAUUACGCUGACAAGGAAGAAAAAGUGUGUUAUGGUUAGGGCUAGCAUUUUCAGGGAAAUCAGGAUAGUUUAGGUUUUGACUACACAUGGCUGUGGGUUGUUGGCCUAGGGAAAUAUCCAAACUGUGGCCUCCAAUUUUAUUUUUCUUUAACCUGUUCAUCUGGUAUUUCCUCAUGAUUAGAUUUAGGUUAUUAGAUUUAGGUAAUUAGAUUCCUCCCUUUUGGCAGGAAUACCACAGAAGUGAUGUCAUACCCAUUUCAGUGCAUCAUAUCUGGAGCUACAAAAUGACUGCUGUUUGCUUGUGUCUCUUUGGGAAAAUUAUAUAAGAGUUCCUUAUUCUCCUGGAACAGGCAAACUCAGGACAGGAUACACAGCAUGGCCUUGUUUCUCCCUUAGCUAAGAGAACAAGACAAACUCCAUCUUGGCUCUUUCACUGGCAGCCUCUUCCUCAAGGACUUAACUUGUGCAAGCUGACUCCCAGCACAUCCAAGAAUGCAAUUAACGGAUAAGAUACUGUGGCGAGCUAUAUCCGCAGUGCCCAAGAAUUCGUCUGAUUGAUAACGCCCAAAGCCCUGUGUCUAUCACCUUGUAAUAGUCUUAAAGCCCCUGCACCUGGAACUGUUUACUUUCCUGUAACCAUUUAUCCUUUUACCUUUUUGACUACUUAACUUCUGUAAAAUUGUUUUAACUAGACCCCCCGCCCCCCUUCCUAAACCAAGAUGUAAAAGUUAAUCAAGCCCCUUUCUUGGGGCCAAAUUUUGAGCGUUAGCCGUCUCUCGGUCGCUGGCUAAUAAAGGACUUUUAAUUCAUCUCAAAGUGUGGCGUUUUUCUAACUCGCUCGGGUACAACAUGGGAUCUGAUGCUGUCUCCAGGCAGUGUCAGAAUUGAAUUGAAGGAAGCCAUCUGGUGUCCACUGCAGAACUGAUGGCUUGCUCGGUAUUUGAGGGUGGG